CGGACGGGUGAGUAAUGUCUGGGAAACUGCCCGAUGGAGGGGGAUAACUACUGGAAACGGUAGCUAAUACCGCAUAACGUCGCAAGACCAAAGAGGGGGAUCUUCGGGCCUCUUGCCAUCGGAUGUGCCCAGAUGGGAUUAGCUAGUAGGUGGGGUAACGGCUCACCUAGGCGACGAUCCCUAGCUGGUCUGAGAGGAUGACCAGCCACACUGGAACUGAAACACGGUCCAG
rnacentral:rRNA from 1 species